AUGAACGCUGGCGGCGUGGAUUAGGCAUGCAAGUCGAACGAGAAAGCUUCCUUCGGGGAGUGAGUACAGUGGCGAACUGGUUAGUACAAGAUGGGCAACGUGCCCUUCAGUGGGGGAUAACUCCUGGAAACAGGGGCUAAUACCGCAUUCGCCCUCCGGACCUUCGGUUCUGGACCUUCGGUUCUGGAGGGGAAAGACUUCGGUCGCUGAAGGAUCGGCCCAUCCCCCAUUAGCUUGUUGGUGAGGUAACGGCUCACCAAGGCUACGAUGGGUAGCUGGUCUGAGAGGAUGGUCAGCAACACUGGGACUGAGAUACGGCCCAGACUCCUACGGGAGGCAGCAGUCUAGAGGCUUCGGCAAUGGGGGAAACCCUGACCGAGCGACGCCGCGUGGAGGAUGAAGCACCUCGUGUGUGUAAACUCCUGUCAGUUGGGAGAAAGGCCCCCGGGUGAACAAUCCGGUUGUUUGACGGUACCAACAGAAGAAGCUCCGGCUAACUCUGUGCCAGCAGCCGCGGUAAUACAGAGGGAGCAAGCGGUGUUCGGAAUUACUGGGCGUAAAGCGCACGUAGGCGGUCAAGUAAGUGUGAAGUGAAAUCCCACGGGCUUACCCGGGGAAUGGCAUCUCAUACUGCCGCGCUUGAGUGCGGGAGAGGGAUGGGGGAAUUCCUGGUGUAGCGGUGAAAUGCGUAGAUAUCAGGAGGAACACCGGUGGCGAAGGCGCUCAUCUGGUCCGUUACUGACGCUGAGGCGCGAAAGCUAGGGGAGCAAACGGGAUUAGAUACCCCGGUAGUCCUAGCCGUAAACGGUGGGCACUAGGUGUAGGAGGCAUCGACCCUUCCUGUGCCGCAGCUAACGCAUUAAGUGCCCCGCCUGGGGAGUACGGCCGCAAGGCUGAAACUCAAAGGAAUUGACGGGGGCCCGCACAAGCGGUGGAGCAUGUGGUUUAAUUCGACGCAACGCGAAGAACCUUACCCAGGCUUGACAUGCACAGGACCGGUGUGGAAACACACCUUUCCUUCGGGACCUGUGCACAGGUGCUGCAUGGCUGUCGUCAGCUCGUGUCGUGAGAUGUUGGGUUAAGUCCCGCAACGAGCGCAACCCUUGUCCUUAGUUGCUAGCAGGUAAAGCUGAGCACUCUAAGGAGACUGCCGGUGGUAAACCGGAGGAAGGUGGGGAUGACGUCAAGUCCUCAUGGCCCUUAUGCCCCGGGCUACACACGUGCUACAAUGGCCGGCACAAAGGGUUGCAAUACCGCGAGGUGGAGCUAAUCCCAAAAAACCGGUCUCAGUUCAGAUUGCAGUCUGCAACUCGACUGCAUGAAGGCGGAAUCGCUAGUAAUCGCUAAUCAGCAGGUAGCGGUGAAUACGUUCCCGGGCCUUGUACACACCGC
rnacentral:rRNA from 1 species